rnacentral:rRNA from 1 species
AUUAUGGAGAGUUUGAUCCUGGCUCAGAGUGAACGCUGGCGGCGUGCCUAAUACAUGCAAGUCGAACGAUGAAGCUUCUAGCUUGCUAGAAGUGGAUUAGUGGCGCACGGGUGAGUAAGGUAUAGUUAAUCUGCCCUACACAAGAGGACAACAGUUGGAAACGACUGCUAAUACUCUAUACUCCUGCUUAACACAAGUUGAG